rnacentral:rRNA from 1 species
CCUACGGGGGGCAGCAGUGGGGAAUAUUGGACAAUGGGCGAAAGCCUGAUCCAGCCACGCCGCGUGUGUGAAGAAGGCCUUCGGGUUGUAAAGCACUUUCAGUGGGGAAGAAAGCCUUGGGGCUAAUACCCUCGAGGAAGGACAUCACCCACAGAAGAAGCACCGGCUAACUCCGUGCCAGCAGCCGCGGUAAUACGGAGGGUGCGAGCGUUAAUCGGAAUUACUGGGCGUAAAGCGCGCGUAGGCGGUCUGAUAAGCCGGUUGUGAAAGCCCCGGGCUCAACCUGGGAACGGCAUCCGGAACUGUCAGGCUAGAGUGCAGGAGAGGAAGGUAGAAUUCCCGGUGUAGCGGUGAAAUGCGUAGAGAUCGGGAGGAAUACCAGUGGCGAAGGCGGCCUUCUGGACUGACACUGACGCUGAGGUGCGAAAGCGUGGGUAGCAAACAGGAUUAGAUACCCCGGUAGUC